rnacentral:rRNA from 1 species
GAACUGUAGAGUUUGAUCCUGGCUCAGAUUGAACGCUGGCGGAAUGCUUUACACAUGCAAGUCGAACGGCAGCACGGGGGCAACCCUGGUGGCGAGUGGCGAACGGGUGAGUAAUACAUCGGAACGUGCCCAGUCGUGGGGGAUAACGUAGCGAAAGCUACGCUAAUACCGCAUACGAUCUAUGGAUGAAAGCGGGGGACCGUAAGGCCUCGCGCGAUUGGAGCGGCCGAUGGCAGAUUAGGUAGUUGGUGGGGUAAAGGCUCACCAAGCCUACGAUCUGUAGCUGGUCUGAGAGGACGACCAGCCACACUGGGACUGAGACACGGCCCAGACUCCUACGGGAGGCAGCAGUGGGGAAUUUUGGACAAUGGGCGCAAGCCUGAUCCAGCCAUUCCGCGUGCAGGAUGAAGGCCCUCGGGUUGUAAACUGCUUUUGUACGGAACGAAAAGCCUUUUUCUAAUACAAGAAGGUCAUGACGGUACCGUAAGAAUAAGCACCGGCUAACUACGUGCCAGCAGCCGCGGUAAUACGUAGGGUGCAAGCGUUAAUCGGAAUUACUGGGCGUAAAGCGUGCGCAGGCGGUAAUGCAAGACAGAUGUGAAAUCCCCGGGCUCAACCUGGGAACUGCAUUUGUGACUGCAUUGCUGGAGUGCGGCAGAGGGGGAUGGAAUUCCGCGUGUAGCAGUGAAAUGCGUAGAUAUGCGGAGGAACACCGAUGGCGAAGGCAAUCCCCUGGGCCUGCACUGACGCUCAUGCACGAAAGCGUGGGGAGCAAACAGGAUUAGAUACCCU